rnacentral:lncRNA from 1 species
AGCUCCUGCAGCUAGACUUUGACUUUGAAAAAAUCCCUUUGGACAAACAUGAUGAAGAAUACCGAAGUGAAGACAUUCAUAUUCUACACAUCAGGAAGAAAAAUCCGAAACCGCCAUCAUGAAGCCCUUUUCCAUUACCCGUGCCCCCAGCAUCCUGGGUAAGGUAAAGCUGUGACCACGCAUGCACACCGCAUGGAAGACUGCCUUACAGAGUUCUCCAGCAUGUCUUAGAGAUCUGGCUCCUGGAUGACCACUGCCUUGGACUGCCCACAGUGUGAAAUGCCUGCCUGCCCGUGGGCCUGAAAUCUAACUUAGGUUUACUUAGCUCAGCAUCAAGUUCUGUUUAAAAGAAACAUUGACAAUCACUCAAAUAAAGAUUAAUUUUGAGGACAGCCUCAAGUCUGAAGCAGCAUGGUUGACUCGGUACAUUUUCAAGAAACUUAGAAAUAAAUUGCUCCAAUUUCUGAUGGCAUCU